UACGUGAGUGAAAAAGUGAAUAUUAUUGGCUUAAUAGUUAUAUAUUUUAUUUUCCUUAAAUUUGAGAUUUUUAGGUGAAAUUUUAAUUUUAUUAUAAGGGUAUUUUAUUGAAGCUAUGAAAUUUAUACUAAAAACAA
rnacentral:rRNA from 1 species